rnacentral:misc_RNA from 1 species
GAUGAAGAACGUAGCGAAAUGCGAUACGUAAUGUGAAUUGCAGAAUUCAGUGAAUCAUCGAAUCUUUGAACGCACAUUGCGCCCCCUGGUAUUCCGGGGGGCAUGCCUGUCCGAGCGUCAUUACAACCCUCAAGCUCUGCUUGGUGUUGGGCCCCGCCGCCCCGGCGGGCCCUAAAGUCAGUGGCGGUGCCAUCCGGCUCCGAGCGUAGUAAUUCUUCUCGCUCUGGAGGUCCGGUUGUGUGCUUGCCAUCAACCCCCAAUUUUUUUCAGGUUGACCUCGGAUCAGGUAGGGAUACCCGCUGAACUUAAGCAUAUCAAUAAGCGGAGGA